rnacentral:rRNA from 1 species
UACAGAGACUGCAAGCGUUAUUCGGAUUCACUGGGCGUAAAGGGUGCGCAGGCGGCCAAGUGUGUGAGGCGUGAAAGCCCGGGGCUUAACCCCGGAAUUGCACCUCAAACUACAUGGCUAGAGCAUUGGAGAGGGUAGCAGAAUUCAUGGUGUAGCAGUGAAAUGCGUAGAUAUCGGGAGGAACACCUAUGGCGAAGGCAGCUCGCUGGGACGUUACUGACGCUGAGACGCGAAAGCGUGGGGAGCAAACAGG